UACAGAGGGGGCAAGCGUUGUUCGGAAUUACUGGGCGUAAAGGGCGCGUAGGCGGCCUUCUAAGUCGAACGUGAAAUCCCCGGGCUCAACCCGGGAACUGCGUCCGAUACUGGAAGGCUUGAAUCCGGGAGAGGGAUGCGGAAUUCCAGGUGUAGCGGUGAAAUGCGUAGAGAUUAGGAAGAACACCAGUGGCGAAGGCGACUUACUGGACUGUAACUGACGCUGAGGCAUGAAAGCGUGGGGAGCAAACAGG
rnacentral:rRNA from 1 species